AUGGCGACCGGCGCACGGGUGAGUAACACGUAUCCAACCUGCCGAUAACUCUGGAAUAGCCUUUCGAAAGAAAGAUUAAUACCGGAUGGCAUACGAAUAUCGCAUGAUAUUUUUAUUAAAGGAUUUCGGUUAUCGAUGGGGAUGCGUUCCAUUAGUUUGUUGGCGGGGCAACGGCCCACCAAGACAACGAUGGAUAGGGGUUCUGAGAGGAAGGUCCCCCACAUUGGAACUGAGACACGGUCCAA
rnacentral:rRNA from 1 species